rnacentral:rRNA from 1 species
UACAUGGGGUGCAAACGUUGCUCGGAAUUAUUGGGCGUAAAGCGCACGUAGGCGGUUCGUUAAGUCGGAUGUGAAAGCCCUCGGCUCAACUGAGGAAGUGCACCCGAAACUGGCGAGCUUGAGUACGAAAGAGGAUCGCGGAAUUCCCGGUGUAGAGGUGAAAUUCGUAGAUAUCGGGAGGAACACCAGUGGCGAAGGCGGCGAUCUGGGAAGAUACUGACGCUGAGGUGCGAAAGCGUGGGGAGCAACAGG